GACGAACCGUGCGGACGUUGUUCGGAAUCACUGGGCUUAAAGGGCGCGUAGGCGGGCAGCAUAGUCGGUGGUGAAAUCUUUCGGCUUAACCGGAAAAUUGCCUCCGAUACUGGUUGUCUUGAGUGAGGUAGGGGCAGAUGGAACUUCCAGUGGAGCGGUGAAAUGUGUUGAUAUUGGAAGGAACGCCGGUGGCGAAAGCGAUCUGCUGGACCUCUUCUGACGCUGAGGCGCGAAAGCGUAGGUAGCGAACAGG
rnacentral:misc_RNA from 1 species